AUUGAACGCUGGCGGCAGGCCUAACACAUGCAAGUCGAGCGGAGCGGGGACGGGUGAGUAACACGUGGGUAACCUCCCAUCAGAGGGGAUAACACUUGGAAACAGGUGCUAAACCGAUACUGAUGGAUGGACCCGCGGUGCAUUAGCUAGUUGGUGAGGUAACGGCUCACCAAGGCCACGAAGCAUAUCCGACCGGAGAGGGUGAUGGGCCACACUGGGACGUAGACACGGCCCAGACUCCUACGUGAGGCAGCAGUAGGGAAUCUUCCGCAAUGGACGAAAGUCUGACCGAGCAACGACGCGUGAGUGAAGAAGGUUUUCGGAUCGUAAAACUCUGUUGUUAGAGAAGCGGUAUCUAACCAGAAAGCCACGGCUAACUACGUGCCAGCAGCCGCGGUAAUAC
rnacentral:rRNA from 1 species